AGUGAACGCUGGCGGUAGGCCUAACACAUGCAAGUCGAACGGCAGCACAGUAAGAGCUUGCUCUUACGGGUGGCGAGUGGCGGACGGGUGAGGAAUACAUCGGAAUCUACUUUUUCGUGGGGGAUAACGUAGGGAAACUUACGCUAAUACCGCAUACGACCUACGGGUGAAAGCAGGGGAUCUUCGGACCUUGCGCGAUUGAAUGAGCCGAUGUCGGAUUAGCUAGUUGGCGGGGUAAAGGCCCACCAAGGCGACGAUCCGUAGCUGGUCUGAGAGGAUGAUCGGCCACACUGGAACUGAGACACGGUCCAGACUCCUACGGGAGGCAGCAGUGGGGAAUAUUGGACAAUGGGCGCAAGCCUGAUCCAGCCAUACCGCGUGGGUGAAGAAGGCCUUCGGGUUGUAAAGCCCUUUUGUUGGGAAAGAAAAGCAGCAGGUUAAUACCCUGCUGUUCUGACGGUACCCAAAGAAUAAGCACCGGCUAACUUCGUG
rnacentral:rRNA from 1 species